CAAACCGGAGGAAGGUGGGGAUGACGUCAAGUCCUCAUGGCCAUUAUGGGUAGGGCUUCACACGUCAUACAAUGGUCGGUACAGAGGGUCGCUAACCCGCGAGGGGGUGCCAAUCUCAGAAAGCCGAUCGUAGUCCGGAUCGUAGUCUGCAACUCGACUACGUGAAGUCGGAAUCGCUAGUAAUCGCGGAUCAGAAUGCCGCGGUGAAUACGUUCCCGGGUCUUGUACACACCGCCCGUCACACCAUGGGAGUGGGUUUCACCAGAAGUAGCUAGCCUAACCGUAAGGGGGGCGGUUACCACGGUGAGAUUCAUGACUGGGGUGAAGUCGUAACAAGGUAGCCGUACCGGAAGG
rnacentral:rRNA from 1 species